AUGUGGUCCCUUAAGCACUGUUGAGUGGUUCCUGAGCACAGAGUCAGUGUGUGCGAUGGCUGCAGAGAGUUAACAGCCACCCUGGUUGCAUCCACAGCCUGUUGCUUGUAUGGGCAGUUCUAAGGCACCUUGAGAUAGUC